rnacentral:rRNA from 1 species
AUUGAACGCUGGCGGCAUGCCUUACACAUGCAAGUCGAACGGCAGCACGGGAGCAAUCCUGGUGGCGAGUGGCGAACGGGUGAGUAAUAUAUCGGAACGUGCCCAGUCGUGGGGAUAACGUAGCGAAAGCUACGCUAAUACCGCAUACGAUCUAUGGAUGAAAGCGGGGGGAUCGCAAGACCUCGCGCGAUUGGAGCGGCCGAUAUCAGAUUAGGUAGUUGGUGAGGUAAAGGCUCACCAAGCCGACGAUCUGUAGCUGGUCUGAGAGGACGACCAGCCACACUGGGACUGAGACACGGCCCAGACUCCUACGGGAGGCAGCAGUGGGGAAUUUUGGACAAUGGGCGCAAGCCUGAUCCAGCAAUGCCNCGUGCAGGAUG